rnacentral:misc_RNA from 1 species
AAAAAAAUGGAUUUGGAAAGUGAGCAAUGGUGAUUUUAAAAUGACAUCUUAUGCACAAAUGAUUUAAAAGAGAUUAUUUAUUUUAGUUGGUUUAUAUUUUUAUGCUUUUCCUUAUUUCGGAAAAUUUAAUAUCUAUUUCCAUAGUUGAUGGGAUUAUUUCAAAUGUCCAUUUAUGAUUUGGUAAAUUUUAAUUACUGAUCAAUGUCAUUUAAAUACAUGAUUGUAUUAUUGAAAACACUGACUUUGAUUUUGUGAAUUAUGAAGAAAAUAAAUAUUUCCAAUUUCAUUGUUAUGAUUUUGCUAAAGUAUAGAGUAUUACAUUUUUAAAUUAUUAGUUGUGCACCACUGAGUUCACUGCUCAGCGAUAGCUUUGUAUGCUGUC